UACGUAGGCAGCAAGCGUUGUUCGGAAUUACUGGGCGUAAAGAGUGUGUAGGCGGUGUUCUAAGUUUGUCGUGAAAUCUCCCGGCUUAACUGGGAGGGUGCGGCGAAAACUGGAAUGCUAGAGGAUGGGAGAGGUAAGCGGAAUUCCUGGUGUAGCGGUGAAAUGCGUAGAUAUCAGGAGGAACACCGGUGGCGAAGGCGGGUCUCUGGGCAGUAACUGACGCUGAGGAGCGAAAGCGUGGGGAGCGAACAGG
rnacentral:rRNA from 1 species